GACGUAGGAGACAAACGUUAUCCGGAGUUACUGGGCGUAAAGGGCGUGCAGGUGGUUCGUUAAGUCUGGCGUGAAAGCCUCCGGCUCAACCGGGGAAAGUCGUCGGAGACUGACGAACUAGAGGGCAGUAGAGGCGUGUGGAAUUCCGGGUGUAGUGGUGAAAUGCGUAGAGAUCCGGAGGAACACCAGUGGCGAAGGCGACACGCUGGGCUGCACCUGACACUCAGACGCGACAGCAUGGGGAGCGAACGGG
rnacentral:rRNA from 1 species